AGGGCUAUAGGGGAGGACGGAGGCCCAAAAAAAAAAAAAGUGUAGUAUCUGUUCUUAUCAGCUUAAUAUCUGCAUCGCAGGACCAGAAUAUUAAACUCAUUUUUGGCUCAUGACGGAGUGCUAGGGGCUUCCUCCACCUCUGUCGCGGGUUGGCCCGGUGUUGCAGUACCGCCGGGAUCGGCCCACCUACA